GAUACUAUCAUAGAUUGGCCCUUGCUUUGCUUUUCAUGGUGCAAUCAUGUAGCUUUUUGCUAACUCGGUUCCUUUCCAACAAUCAAAGAGACUACAAUACAGCAUUAGCCAUUUCCCUUUUCCUAUCACAUCUCAGCACUCGCUUGCCCUUUAGAAAGAUGGCGGAAACACAUAUCUACAAUAGUAGUGCGCUAAUGCCUGUUAUUUUAAUCCUUGGUGCCGCCAUCUAACUAAGCUUCAGACUCUCUCUGUUUUGUUCUCCGUGGUAGAUAAAAUAAUGCAGUUUAUAUCGAUUUAGCUAGCAAUAGCGAGUCUGGAUACAUAUACAUAAGGAAUACGGGCAUAUUAAAGAAUUUUAGCAAAGAGCAACCUAAAGUAAAUAACUCCUAGUAGCCGCAGUUUAUAGUGAAAUUGAACGAUCCCGUUACUAGAAUUUAUGUAGAAAAUAAAGCUGAAUUAUGUGCGCCCGGUUUGCUAAGGAAAGUCUAUUAUGCUGAAAGCAUAAUGAGAGCGUUCCCCCUCCUCUGUGCGCCGUCACGUCCCCUUGCUCUUCCUUUCCCACUCCCCUCCUCCUCCUCUCACCGCCUCUUCCCCCAAACAACACGGCGUUUCUACAUUAGCCGACAACAUGGAGGCCGUCAAAACCUUUAACAGCGAGCUAUAUUCACUGAAUGACUACAGGCCACCUAUUUCUAAAGCCAAAAUGACCCAGAUAACUAAGGCUGCUAUCAAAGCUAUUAAGUUUUACAAGCAUGUUGUUCAAAGUGUUGAGAAAUUCAUCCAGAAGUGCAAGCCAGAAUAUAAGGUUCCUGGACUAUAUGUCAUUGAUUCAAUUGUCCGUCAAUCCAGACAUCAGUUUGGUCAAGAUAAGGAUCUUUUUGCACCCCGGUUUAGCAAUAACAUAAUUAAUACUUUCCAGAAUCUGUACCGUUGUCCUGCAGAUGACAAGAGCAAAAUUGUAAGAGUUCUGAAUCUCUGGCAGAAGAAUAAUGUGUUUAAGAGUGAAAUUAUUCAGCCACUUCUUGAUAUGGCUGCUGGUAUCCCUCCUCCAGUUGUCACUCCGGUGUUACCCAGUACUACUGCUGCAGUGAGCAACACUCCAGGAACACCAGUAACCCCAGUUACACCAGCAAAUAUUGUUCAGGGAAUACCUGAUCCGUGGAUUGCACAGAUAAACAAUACAGAUACCCUUGCUGCUGUGGCACAGAUUCUGCAAAGCCCUCAAGGGCAACAGCUUCAACAGCUUGUACAGUCUUUGCACAUCCAACAGCAGAAGCCUCAGCCUUCUCUCCUACAAGCACUAGAUGCUGGCCUUGUAGUUCAAUUGCAGGCACUUACAGCUCAACUUACAGCAGCAGCUGCUUCUACUAAUCCUCUCAACCAAUUAGAACAAAGUGUUUCACUCAGCAAGAAAUUAAUGGAUAGGUUUGAUUUUGGAGAUGACUCGAACCAGCAAGAAGAUCCAAAAAAGGAGACCCAACAAAUCCCUCUGAUUCCAGAAUCUGUGAAUAACUCAAUUUUCCAUCAACUUGCGGAACAUUUGCAGCAACAAAAUCUUGAGCAUCUUCGACAGCAAUUACUGGAACAGCAACAUUCUACAAAGGUAACAGCUCAGGAAACUCAGGACUUUAUGUCUGAAUCAGAAAAUUCUGCAACACCUUCACAGGAUGACAGUCAACAGCCAUUUCUGGAGUCUGAAUCCCAAAUGCAUGCCUCCAUGAACAUGCAACAAGAAGAUAUGGACAUUGAGGAAACGCUAGAUGGAAAUGAAGAGAUAUUUGAAAAAGAGGAAAAGAAAGUAAUGAAAGAAGAAGCACCUAGGACACGUUCAAAGUCUCACUCAAGGUCACCAAGGAAAAGACGAUCACGAUCACGGUCUGGCUCCAGGAAGCGCAAACACAGAAAACGCUCACGUUCGCGGUCAAGAGAAAGAAAACGCAAAACAUCCCGCUCAUAUUCAAGUGAAAGAAGAGCAAGAGAGCGAGAGAAGGAACGGCAGAAAAAAGGCCUCCCUCCUAUCAGAUCCAAAACACUUAGUGUUUGCAGCACCACGCUUUGGGUUGGUCAAGUUGACAAAAAAGCCACACAGCAGGAUUUGACCAAUGUAUUUGAAGAGUUUGGACAGAUUGAAUCAAUAAAUAUGAUUCCACCAAGGGGCUGCGCAUAUGUCUGCAUGGUUCAUAGACAAGAUUCCUACCGGGCUCUUCAGAAGCUUAGUUCUAGCUCAUGUAAGAUUGGAUCCAAAAUCAUCAAGAUUGCUUGGGCUUUGAACAAAGGUGUGAAAACAGAAUAUAAGCAAUUCUGGGAUGUUGAUCUUGGAGUAACAUAUAUACCAUGGGAAAAAGUCAAAGUUGAUGACUUAGAAGGAUUUGCUGAAGGUGGAAUGAUUGAUCAGGAGAGUGUGAAUAAUGACUGGAAAGCGCAGAAAAGUUCUGAAGCAGUUGGUGCUAAAGAGUCCACACCUGAUAAUGCAACAGUAGUCCCUACUACCAUUGUCACCUCUGCUCCCAUUCCAGUUGUCACUACAGCUGCCCAGGCUUCAGCUGUUCAGAAGAAUUCUACAGUAACCUCACAGCCUGAGGCAUAUACUCAGCCUGUUGCAGUGCUUCAGAUACCAGUUGCUCCAGCUGUAAGCCUAGUUCCGCCAGCAUUUCCUGUCUCAAUGACUGUACCUCCACCAGGCUAUUCUGCAAUUCCACCACCUCCUUUCAUGAGGGCUUCUUUUAAUCCUUCGCAGCCACCACCAGGUUUUAUCCCACCUCCUCUUCCUCCACCUGCCAUUCCUCCUCCAGCUAUUAGCUCUGCACUUCCAGCAGCUACUCAAAGUACAGUGAACAGCAACACUGGAAUAUUAGGUGUGCAACCACCAUCAUCAGUUACAGCAAACUUGCCUCAUGUAAACAUCACUACUCGAAUGACGGGUAUGCCUUUGUUAGAUGUUCGCCAAGGCUUGCUUUCACAGACUGCAUCAACAAGGUUCACUUUGUUACAUCCAGGAAUACCUCCACUCCCACCACCACCAAGAAGCAUGCUCCCUCCAGGACUGAUUGACCCAAAUAUUCAUCCAUUGCCUUUCCCUCUAGGGGAUAUGGUGUCUCUUUCUGACAGAUCUUUUGGAGUCCAAGGCAGAUUAGAUGCCGAUACUGUUAAUGUAAAAGAAAAGAGGCAGCCUUUGCCAAACAGUAAUAUUCAGGAGGGAGAUCAAGAUUAUCGUUUUCCUCCAGUUGAAAGUCGCCAAAAUACAUGUAAACCAUCUACGGAAAAACAUGAAAGCGAGGCAAUCUCAAGUGCAGGCAACAAAGAAAUGCAAGGAGUAAGAGGUACAGAUGAAAGUGUUCAAGCAAGAAAUGCAGAUGAUGACCAUGAGCCACAGGACAUGGCUGUUGUAGAUCCUUCUGAAAGUCAAGAAAAAUCUAUGGAUGAGACUGGUGUAGCUCAUUUAUCAAGUGAGGAGUUACAUGGGGAUGAAAGAAAGCCUGAUACAGAUGCCUUUGAAGGUUUAAGACGGCCUGUCCAACAAGGAUAUGACAAUAAGGGAACAAAUAUUCUAGAUGCUCAUGAAGGCCAAGUAAGACAACCACUAGAUGACAAACAACAUUUUAGAGGCCCAGCAAUAGACAUGUUAGCACCAUUUCAAAGGUAUCCAGGAGAGAUUUUUCCUCGCCCAGCUUUAGGGAGAAGGGAUCACUUUGGAAUGCCGUAUUUAGAGACACAUGAUCGUUUUGGCAGGCCAUCUAUGGAGAGUCCUUUUAGACCACCUCUUUUAGAUGGCAGAAACCAUUAUGGGAGGCCACCAAUGGAUGGUAGAGAGCAUUUUGGAAGACCACCUCCAGAUAUAAGAGAAAAUCAUGGAAGAACAUUUGUGGAUAGUGCUGGGAAGCAAUUACAUUUCCCAGCAGAAAAGCCAUGGGGACAUCAAGAAGAUUUUGAUGAAAGACCCCACCCUUCUUUCAUUGGUUUUCAAGGACUAAAGGGCUUUCAUGAUGAAAGGCAUCAUCAUGGAAACUUUAGACAGGAGCAUCGAAAUACUCCAAACUGGAACAGAGGGUUUGAACAAGCUAAACAUAGGGAUUUUGAUGACCGUCGUCACUCAUGGGAAAGACAGGUUGAUAGGGAUGAAAGAGAUUUUGAUUUCCGUAGAGAAGUUAAUGGUGACCCUUUUGGAAGAGAGAGACAGUCCGAAAACUGGGCACCUCCACAGCCUCAGCCACAUGCUUUUGAGUAUUUCCCAGAGGCCACUUCUGCUCAGAACAGUAGCGACCCUCAAGUUAAUGGAGAAAAAGCAGAGACUAGCAAUCAAAAAGAAACUGUAAGCAAAUCUGAUGAUCUUGAACUCUGUGAACAGAAAGAGACUUCAGUUAAAGAGAGCGAAGAGAAUGACACCAAGAAAACUGAGACAGAAAGUCAAAUUGUGGUUGAAAGCACAGAGACUGAAGGGACAUAAUCAUCACUCAGUAGCUGGUAAUGAGCAUCCUGAAAUGUUUGGAGGUUGAGAGACAAAGAAGUGAGGCUGCAGUGUCAUGUGACGUGAACUUACAUUUCCAGUUGACUGACAAUAUAGUGUGCAGGACUUGUAUAGUGUACAGAACUCCUUACCAGAAGGCACAAGUUUGAGUGGCAGAGGAAGAAGGCUGGCAGUGAAGAGCCAAUGGUGAUUGGAAAAGACACUGACUGAGGAAAAGAGACAGGAGGACCAGAGCCCAGCCCGGAAAGCAGGAGGUAGCCACUGCAGUCAGCAGAGUAUUGUUCCAAAGGAGAUCAGUUGUCAACCGCUAGAAAAGGCUAGAAAUUAGGAAAAGGGUAAGUCUCAGGAUUAGAGUCACCAAUAUAAAAAGAACUGGAAGAAUUCAUUGGCCUGAAAGUGGUAGAAGGGAUUCAUCAGCACACGGACACUGAUCUAGAAGAUGUUUGAAACUCAUUAUGAAACAAUAUGCUUCAGGAUCAAAUGCACUUGCAUAUUCCUUUGAAUGGACCCCUGCAAUAGACUGUAGAGUCCAAAGGAGACGUUUAGGACAGUUUGCAAGAACUCCUGGAUACUCCUGGUAUAGUCAUGAAACCUCUGACCAAAAUACAGAAUUCUUACAUUUAGCCAAGUCUGACUUGAAAGUUGAAAAAAAGGAAAGAUUACAUUGGAAAGAUUAAAUAGACUGAUGGAUGUUUGGAGGGAAACUUCACAGCAAACUGUAUCAGCAUAUUCUUAUUCUAAUGAAUAUUAUUCAAAUGUUUUUAAAUCUAAUUUUAUUCUUAUUUUUUGUACAUUUCACUAGAUUUUUCAAUUUCUAAAUGUAUAAUUUGCUUUAUAUCUUUCUAUUCUGAAUUUAUUGUACUUUGUAAAACAAAAGGUCUGCAUUUGAUUGUUCCUACUUUCAAAUGGUGAUGAUGUUAAAAAUAUAGAACUUUGACCUUUUGUUGUUAUGGUGAAGAUCUGUGUUUCUAGUGGAAGUUGAUUAUACCUUGAAAAUAACCUGAUUUUAAACACAUUACUAAAGGGAAUUAUAUAUAUAUAUAUAUAUAUAUAUAUAUUUAUAUUUUAUUUAAAUUAAAUGUAUUUUCCCAAAUUAAUGAAUCUGGCUAAAAAAAAAAUGCCCUCAGGCCUACUUCAUAUUCUGAAACUGAGCAGCAGGUGGCGCUGUUGUAGCAAAAUGCAUUCAUAGUAACAGUACUUUAACCCUUUAUAUCUUGUAAUAAAAUAAAUAAUAAAUGUAAAUUGCAAAAGCA